AGAGUUUGAUCAUGGCUCAGGACGAACGCUGGCGGCGUGCCUAAUACAUGCAAGUCGAGCGGACAGAUGGGAGCUUGCUCCCUGAUGUUAGCGGCGGACGGGUGAGUAACACGUGGGUAACCUGCCUGUAAGACUGGGAUAACUCCGGGAAACCGGGGCUAAUACCGGAUGGUUGUUUGAACCGCAUGGUUCAAACAUAAAAGGUGGCUUCGGCUACCACUUACAGAUGGACCCGCGGCGCAUUAGCUAGUUGGUGAGGUAACGGCUCACCAAGGCGACGAUGCGUAGCCGACCUGAGAGGGUGAUCGGCCACACUGGGACUGAGACACGGCCCAGACUCCUACGGGAGGCAGCAGUAGGGAAUCUUCCGCAAUGGACGAAAGUCUGACGGAGCAACGCCGCGUGAGUGAUGAAGGUUUUCGGAUCGUAAAGCUCUGUUGUUAGGGAAGAACAAGUACCGUUCGAAUAGGGCGGUACCUUGACGGUACCUAACCAGAAAGCCACGGCUAACUACGUGCCAGCAGCCGCGGUAAUACGUAGGUGGCAAGCGUUGUCCGGAAUUAUUGGGCGUGAAGGGCUCGCAGGCGGUUUCUUAAGUCUGAUGUGAAAGCCCCCGGCUCAACCGGGGAGGGUCAUUGGAAACUGGGGAACUUGAGUGCAGAAGAGGAGAGUGGAAUUCCACGUGUAGCGGUGAAAUGCGUAGAGAUGUGGAGGAACACCAGUGGCGAAGGCGACUCUCUGGUCUGUAACUGACGCUGAGGAGCGAAAGCGUGGGGAGCGAACAGGAUUAGAUACCCUGGUAGUCCACGCCGUAAACGAUGAGUGCUAAGUGUUAGGGGGUUUCCGCCCCUUAGUGCUGCAGCUAACGCAUUAAGCACUCCGCCUGGGGAGUACGGUCGCAAGACUGAAACUCAAAGGAAUUGACGG
rnacentral:rRNA from 1 species